rnacentral:lncRNA from 10 species
GCGUAACGCCCUCUGCGUGCGCCGGCGCCCUAUGAAGAUCCGGCGCAGCUAAAGUCAGUGGAAGGUAGAAAGACGCCACAGCCGCCUUUCGACAACUUUUUGUUACAAAAGUGGAGAUCUACACGGAGGCGACGGCCUAGGUCGCUCUGACAGGACCCAACGACCCUCCUGACGCGUCCACCCGUCCUCGCUAGCAGGGUCCCCCAGCGGGCUCUCGACCUGCGCCACCAGGGUUCCACUCUUUUUGUCGACAAUAAUAUGGCGCCCAAACACGUGGGGCCUCAGAGAAGACUCUGGAUCCGGAAGGAGUAUCCCAAAACCAGAGCUAAGGUACCAGCUGGAGCCCACUGAAGCCUCACCGAGUUUGGGCUUCUCCUCCUGUGGAACUGGAAACCAAAAUCAUGGUAUUUUGAAAACCAGAGGUAUGAAUCUCCCUCGUUUGGCAUCCCACUGGGCCUGGACCUGUUUCACUGCUAAUGUUCUGCUGCCAAAACUAUACAAGCUGCCUGGACUAUUGCAGAAGAGGAAGAUGAAACACUGAAUUAGGAGAUCUGGGAAACUGCAGACACACUUUCUGACAUGUUCAAAUCAGGAAAAAAAGGGUUUGAAAUCUUUCUUCUAUAAUACUUCAUGAAUUUUUCUAAAAUACUGUUCAAUUUUAAUGUAUUUGUUUAUUCUGUUGCCAAUGUUUAAGUCUUUAAUCACUUUAAACAAUAGGAAGUAAAAAUUAAACAGCUUCAUAACUUUAAGCUUUCAUAUUAGCAGAAACUCUAUUUUCUAAAAAUUGUUGCCAGAUCAUUGAAUUCUAAAUACUUGCCUAUUAAAUGUCUGUGAAAUGAAUCAAUUUCUCACAUACCACAUUACUUCCUUCUAUCGACAGAGUCUUGCUCUGUUGCCCAGAAUGGAAUGCAGUAGCACAAUCCUAACUAAUCGUAACCUUGAACUCCUGGGUUCAAGCGAUCCUCCUGCCUCAGCCUCCUCAGUAUAGGACUACAGGCGUGCCCAGGUCUUUUUUGGAUUUUUCAGUUAAGAAGAUGAACAAAGACGUCUGCCCUUUGGAGAUUGAGGGUGGCAUGAGUCAACAACCACCUGUGACUCUUGCUGGAUUGCUCAUCUUCAUAAUAGCAACACUUCUUAUUUGGUCAAAGAAUACAAUAGGUCCCUGUUGAUGCAAUCACCUUUGUGUUACCUGAAAGUCUUAAGAGGGGGUCAAACAAAUUCACUGUCUUACUACCUGCACAUGGAUGCUCGGUGGGUAUUUCAAAAUAGAGUCCAAUAAGUUAAAUAAUAGUAACUGUAUCUCCUUUGUAUCAAAUAGGAAACUAUUCAGAGAGGUUGAUUAGCCCAAGUUCAUUCUGUCACUUCCAUCAGGUAUUUCAACCCAGCUGUCCUAAUUCAAAGUUGUCUAUUGUUCUCAGAGUCCUUUGCAAAUGACUGUUUUGAGUUGUUCAUUUUUUGAUUUAGCUAUUUAGCUUUAUCAUUCUAAAUAUAUUAUAAGCCUGCCAAUGUCAGGGAUCAUGUCUCAUAUUUUUAUAUUAUUCAUAGACACUUUCCCGAAGGAUGAGAAUAUAAUAGCUGCUUAUGAAUGCACAUGAUUAUAUUUUUUCUCAUUUUUUAAAAACAGGAGACUUUUAGAGCAUGUGUAUUAAGUAUAAAAAGGUAAAUCUUCUAAAGACAGGUGUUAACAUUUCUCCAAUAUCUCCCUUUCCAUUAACCAGCACAUUGGAUCUGUAAACAGAUGUUCACUAGAACAAAAUAGCUACUUACAUGUACAAUUACCAAUUCUGUAUGCACCAGUGAAUGCACCAAAUUUAGAAAAAGUUGCUAAAUAUGUUUCAUUUUACUGAACUCUAUCUUCCCUAAGGGCUGGAAGUCUUGAUCUUGCUAGCAUGCAUUAGGAAGAUAAAGUGCUUCCAAUUCAUCUCUUGGAUUGCCCUGCUGCUGUAGCCUAUUUGCUGAAAUGGGGGAUGGAUCUGCUGAAGACUCUUGCACAUGUGUUCCCUACAUUUCACAGUUAAAGACUCCAAAUUUUCUCUCAAUCCUAGGAUCAGAGUACAAUGGCAGCCAGGAAUAAUUACAUUUGCAUGUCUUAUCUACUGUGAUGUUUUCCUCAAGGAAAAGAGAACAGCUUUAGGAUACUGAAUGCAGAAAAUGCAAAGCAUUUAAUUCACCUAUACAUUCUGAGUCUAAUCUAUCCAAAGAUUCUUUGGAAACAAAACAUUCUUUAGUAAUCAUUUCAUAGCAUCUGUGUAAGACCUAAGUUUCAAUAUAAAUUAUAAUUUUUAAAUUAUGUAUUUCAAAAAGUUGCUUAUUAACAAUUUAGAGAAAAUGUGGUUACAAUAAUGUGCAACAGAGGCUUUAGGGAAGAACUGAGACUAAGGGCAAUAUUUUUAAAUACAUGGAUUUGAAGACAUGGAUUUA